UGAACGCUGGCGGCGUGCCUAAUACAUGCAAGUCGAGCGAACGGACGAGAAGCUUGCUUCUCUGAUGUUAGCGGCGGACGGGUGAGUAACACGUGGAUAACCUACCUAUAAGACUGGGAUAACUUCGGGAAACCGGAGCUAAUACCGGAUAAUAUUUUGAACCGCAUGGUUCAAAAGUGAAAGACGGUCUUGCUGUCACUUAUAGAUGGAUCCGCGCUGCAUUAGCUAGUUGGUAAGGUAACGGCUUACCAAGGCAACGAUGCAUAGCCGACCUGAGAGGGUGAUCGGCCACACUGGAACUGAGACACGGUCCAGACUCCUACGGGAGGCAGCAGUAGGGAAUCUUCCGCAAUGGGCGAAAGCCUGACGGAGCAACGCCGCGUGAGUGAUGAAGGUCUUCGGAUCGUAAAACUCUGUUAUUAGGGAAGAACAUAUGUGUAAGUAACUGUGCACAUCUUGACGGUACCUAAUCAGAAAGCCACGGCUAACCACGUG
rnacentral:rRNA from 1 species